rnacentral:rRNA from 1 species
GUGAUGGAGAGUUUGAUCCUGGCUCAGGACGAACGCUGGCGGCGUGCGUAAUACAUGCAAGUCGAGCGGGCGUGGCUGGGGGACUGGUCACGUCAGCGGCGGACGGGUGAGGAACACGUGAGUGACCUGGCUCUGGGUGGGGGAUAUCGGGCCGAAAGGCGCGGCAAUCCCGCAUACGCCCUGGAGGGGGGCCUUCAGGGGAAAGCUGGUGACGGCGCCCGGAGGGGGGCUCGCGGCCCAUUAGCUAGUUGGGGGGGUAAUGGCCUCCCAAGGCGACGAUGGGUAGCCGGCCUGAGAGGGUGGACGGCCACACUGGGACUGAGACACGGCCCAGACUCCUACGGGAGGCAGCAGUAGGGAAUCUUCCACAAUGGGCGCAAGCCUGAUGGAGCAACGCCGCGUGAGUGAAGACGGCCUUCGGGUUGUAAAGCUCUGUCGGUCGGGACGAGGACCCGCGGGGGGCCGCGGGGGGGCCGGUACUGGCCGAGGAAGCCCCUGCAAACUACGUGCCAGCAGCCGCGGUAAGACGUAGGGGGCGAGCGUUGUCCGGAAUGACUGGGCGUAAAGGGCGUGUAGG